GCCGAUGUCCUUUGAAGAUGCAAGAAUUGGAGUCGAGUCUACUAAUUCAGGUUGGGGAAGUCGGAGUAGGGACAAUAGAUCGGGUUUUAUUGUGGAACACUCUCACAUCGGACGUCAGUGUCCUGUUAGGCAAUUUGUAGUGCCACUUGUCAUCAUCUUUUAGGGCGUAUAUUUUUAGCCCGUAUCAGUAUGAGUUUUUGCAUUUGGUUCCAGUGCUGUAGGUUUUCUGUUGCAGAGUUUGUUUUGUUCAAUUAUGUUGAAUUUACUUCUUUUGAUUCUUGUAGAUGCCAGGUACAAUUAUGGCAAU
rnacentral:misc_RNA from 1 species